rnacentral:rRNA from 1 species
CAUGCAAGUCGAACGAGUUCUCGUUGAUGAUCGGUGCUUGCACCGAGAUUCAACAUGGAACGAGUGGCGGACGGGUGAGUAACACGUGGGUAACCUGCCCUUAAGUGGGGGAUAACAUUUGGAAACAGAUGCUAAUACCGCAUAGAUCCAAGAACCGCAUGGUUCUUGGCUGAAAGAUGGCGUAAGCUAUCGCUUUUGGAUGGACCCGCGGCGUAUUAGCUAGUUGGUGAGGUAAUGGCUCACCAAGGCGAUGAUACGUAGCCGAACUGAGAGGUUGAUCGGCCACAUUGGGACUGAGACACGGCCCAAACUCCUACGGGAGGCAGCAGUAGGGAAUCUUCCACAAUGGACGCAAGUCUGAUGGAGCAACGCCGCGUGAGUGAAGAAGGCUUUCGGGUCGUAAAACUCUGUUGUUGGAGAAGAAUGGUCGGCAGAGUAACUGUUGUCGGCGUGACGGUAUCCAACCAGAAAGCCACGGCUAACUACGUGCCAGCAGCCGCGGUAAUACGUAGGUGGCAAGCGUUAUCCGGAUUUAUUGGGCGUAAAGCGAGCGCAGGCGGUUUUUUAAGUCUGAUGUGAAAGCCCUCGGCUUAACCGAGGAAGCGCAUCGGAAACUGGGAAACUUGAGUGCAGAAGAGGACAGUGGAACUCCAUGUGUAGCGGUGAAAUGCGUAGAUAUAUGGAAGAACACCAGUGGCGAAGGCGGCUGUCUGGUCUGUAACUGACGCUGAGGCUCGAAAGCAUGGGUAGCGAACAGGAUUAGAUACCCUGGUAGUCCAUGCCGUAAACGAUGAAUGCUAGGUGUUGGAGGGUUUCCGCCCUUCAGUGCCGCAGCUAACGCAUUAAGCAUUCCGCCUGGGGAGUACGACCGCAAGG